AUUUAUCGAUUAAUGUUAUUAAUUCGAAUUAUGGUAAUACCACUGAGUAUUUCCAUACUCAGCGUACGGUUGUUUCCGUGCGCAGGUUAGGUCAAAGUCGGAUUGUUGAAUCAGCAUCCAAAGCCGAUUCUGAGCUAAUUGUGGUGGUGAACAUUUCUUUUAGUUAUGGCAUGUAUAGGAAUUUAGUAAUUUUGUAUAUUUGUAAAUAUGAUUUCACUAUAGAAUGAUGUGUAAGUAUUUGAUGAUGAAUGGUUGUUUAAAUGGUCAAGGAUGAAGUUAAUUAUUGUUAUAAAAGUC
rnacentral:lncRNA from 1 species